UUUCUACAACGAAGAGUUUGAUCCUGGCUCAGGAUGAACGCUAGCGGCAGGCUUAACACAUGCAAGUCGAGGGGUAACGAUGGUUUCGGCCAGGCGACGACCGGCGCACGGGUGAGUAACGCGUAUGCAACCUACCUUUAACUGAGGCAUAGCUUCGAGAAAUCGGAAUUAAUACCUCAUAAUAUUUUUUAAUCACAUGAUUUUAAAAUUAAAGUUCUUUGGUUCGGUUAAAGAUGGGCAUGCGUAACAUUAGUUUGUUGGUGAGGUAACGGCUCACCAAGACUACGAUGUUUAGGGGUUCUGAGAGGAUGAUCCCCCACACUGGUACUGAGACACGGACCAGACUCCUACGGGAGGCAGCAGUGAGGAAUAUUGG
rnacentral:rRNA from 1 species